ACUGCCUUAUAAAAGCAUUUCAGGUGUUACUUUGUCACAUGUGUGUCAAUAAGUGGCAGAAAAGAGAGACACUUUGUCUCUUCAGUAUUUUGAUCUGUGAACAUCUGCCUGAUAAGUAGCCUACCAUU